AACGAACGCUGGCGGCAUGCCUAACACAUGCAAGUCGAACGAGACCUUCGGGUCUAGUGGCGCACGGGUGCGUAACGCGUGGGAACCUGCCCUUAGGUUCGGAAUAACUCCCCGAAAGGGGUGCUAAUACCGGAUAAUGUCUUCGGACCAAAGAUUUAUCGCCUUUGGAUGGGCCCGCGUUGGAUUAGCUAGUUGGUAGGGUAAAAGCCUACCAAGGCGACGAUCCAUAGCUGGUCUGAGAGGAUGAUCAGCCACACUGGGACUGAGACACGGCCCAGACUCCUACGGGAGGCAGCAGUGGGGAAUAGUGGACAAUGGGCGAAAGCCUGAUCCAGCAAUGCCGCGUGAGUGAUGAAGGCCUUAGGGUUGUAAAGCUCUUUUACCCGGGAUGAUAAUGACAGUACCGGGAGAAUAAGCACCGGCUAACUCCGUG
rnacentral:rRNA from 1 species